rnacentral:misc_RNA from 1 species
CAACGUAAAUUGUACGUUACCGCUACAGCUCCUAUUCGAAGAAAGCGUGUUCGUCUUGUGGCUUCUUCUGAAAAUGACGUAACGGAAGAAAUUCUGGGCUUGUCAAGAUAGCUCAGACAUACGAUGCAUUUUCAAUUAUGGUUGCUGAGAAUCGUCAAAGAUUUCCUACAUUCAGAAUAAAAAGGCCAGCGGUGCUCUGAAAAACCCAAAGAAGACACUUUACAGGAUAAAGAGGCAAUAGGAUGAGAAAAAUGAAUCAAGAAAGAUUGUGAAGAGUUUAGUAGUUAAAAAAAGACGAGAACUAGAUGAGGAGGAUGAAGUUUGUUCUGUAGGUGCAAAUGGACUUCGUCGCAGAGGUCGCCAAACUUACACCCGUUAUCAAACAUUAGAGCUAGAAAAAGAAUUCCAUACUAACCACUACCUCACUCGCCGCCGGAGGAUUGAAAUGGCCCAUGCCCUA